rnacentral:rRNA from 1 species
GAUCCUGGCUCAGGAUGAACGCUGGCGGCGUGCCUAAUACAUGCAAGUCGAACGCCUCACAUAUGUGAAGAGUGGCGAACGGGUGAGUAAUACAUAAGUAACCUGGCCUUUACAGGGGGAUAACUAUUGGAAACGAUAGCUAAGACCGCAUAGGUGUCAUAACCGCAUGGAGAUGAUAUGAAAUAUGCUACGGCAUAGGUAGAGGAUGGGACUUAUGGCGCGAUUAG